CGCGUAGGCGGCCCGGUAAGUAGGAGGUGAAAUCCUGCGGCUUAACCGCAGGGCUGCCUUCUAAACUGCCAGGCUUGAGCACAGUAGAGGCAGGUGGAAUUCCCGGUGUAGCGGUGGAAUGCGUAGAGAUCGGGAAGAACAUCGGUGGCGAAGGCGGCCUGCUGGGCUGUUGCUGACGCUGAGGCGCGACAGCGUGGGGAGCAAACAGGAUUAGAUACCCUGGUAGUCCACGCCGUAAACGAUGGGCACUAGGCGUCGGGGGGAGCGACCCUCUCGGUGCCGUCGCUAACGCAGUAAGUGCCCCGCCUGGGGAGUACGGCCGCAAGGCUGAA
rnacentral:rRNA from 1 species